GACGAACCGUCCAAACGUUAUUCGGAUUUACUGGGCUUAAAGGGUGCGUAGGCGGCGCGGAAAGUUGGGUGUGAAAUCCCUCGGCUCAACCGAGGAACUGCGCCCAAAACUACCGUGCUCGAGGGAGAUAGAGGUGAGCGGAACUUAGGGUGGAGCGGUGAAAUGCGUUGAUAUCCUAAGGAACACCGGUGGCGAAAGCGGCUCACUGGAUCUCUUCUGACGCUGAGGCACGAAAGCUAGGGGAGCGAGCGGG
rnacentral:rRNA from 1 species